rnacentral:rRNA from 1 species
UACAGAGGGGGCAAGCGUUAUUCGGAAUUAUUGGGCGUAAAGGGCGCGUAGGCGGCUUUGCAAGUGGCGGGUGAAAUCCCUCGGCUUAACCGGGGAACUGCGUCCGAUACUGGUUGGCUUGAGUUUGGGAGAGGGAUGCGGAAUUCCAGGUGUAGCGGUGAAAUGCGUAGAUAUCUGGAGGAACACCGGUGGCGAAGGCGGCAUCCUGGACCAAUACUGACGCUGAGGAGCGAAAGCCAGGGGAGCAAACGGG